rnacentral:rRNA from 1 species
GUGGCGAACGGGUGAGUAACACGUGGGUGAUCUGCCCUGUACUUCGGGAUAAGCUUGGGAAACUGGGUCUAAUACCGGAUAGGACCAUGGUUUAGUGUCUCAUGGUGGAAAGAUUAUUGUUUUGGUGCAGGAUGAGCUCGCGGCCUAUCAGCUUGUUGGUGGGGUAAUGGCCUACCAAGGCGUCGACGGGUAGCCGGCCUGAGAGGGUGGACGGCCACAUUGGGACUGAGAUACGGCCCAGACUCCUACGGGAGGCAGCAGUGGGGAAUAUUGCACAAUGGGCGCAAGCCUGAUGCAGCGACGCCGCGUGGGGGAUGACGGCCUUCGGGUUGUAAACUCCUUUCGUUAGGGACGAAGCCAUACUUUUUGGGUGUGGUGACGGUACCUUUGUUAAGAAGCACCGGCUAACUACGUGCCAGCAGCCGCGGUAAUACGUAGGGUGCGAGCGUUGUCCGGAAUUACUGGGCGUAAAGAGCUCGUAGGUGGUUUGUUGCGUCGUCUGUGAAAUUCCGGGGCUUAACUUCGGGGUGGCAGGCGAUACGGGCAUAACUAGAGUGCUGUAGGGGAGACUGGAAUUCCUGGUGUAGCGGUGGAAUGCGCAGAUAUCAGGAGGAACACCGAUGGCGAAGGCAGGUCUCUGGGCAGU